UACGUAGGUGGCUAGCGUUGUCCGGAUUUACUGGGCGUAAAGAGCGCGCAGGCGGUCGUUCAAGUCGAGUGUGAAAGCCCCCGGCUCAACUGGGGAGGGUCACUCGAUACUGAUCGACUUGAAGGCGGGAGAGGGAAGCGGAAUUCCCGGUGUAGUGGUGAAAUGCGUAGAUAUCAGGAGGAACACCAGUGGCGAAGGCGGCUAACUGGUCCGGUACUGACGCUGAGGUGCGAAAGCGUGGGGAGCAAACAGG
rnacentral:rRNA from 1 species